UUGUAGAAUCAACCGCGGGAAGCAGGACAUGAAGCGAUACAGAGGAAGCAGGAAGAAAAAGAGACCGACACAUGGUGGACUUUUCCGACGCAUGGUGGACUUUUCCCGGAGUACCGAUGUGGUGAUGCUUGACUGACAAAGACUGGGGGAAACGGUGUUUUAUGUCCUGCCGCGAUGUGUAUAUGUGAACUAGCUCAGCUAGCUCAAAGAUUUCUAUGUGCUGCCUUUCUGAUAUGUUUGCUGCCAUCAUGUCAGUGAAACAGGAUCACAGCUGAAGAAGAGGCUACAAGAGGUUUCCCAGAGACUAUGGGUUGAGGAGGAAUUGGAAGUUUGUCGGCUUAGACCUGGUGUCAUUCCAUCAGUGUUAAACUUCCCAGCUCAUCUUGGAAGAGUACGUGCCAGAAAGACCACGACCAAGCAGCCUUGAGAUCUUAGGCAGCGUCUCCCUGAGACCAAAGAACUACAGACUCUUCACAACCUGCUCAAACUCUUGGUACAGGACCUCACCACACGGGUCAAGAAGGUUUCCUUCUCAUUUCUACUCUGAAGCUCACCUUCUCCUGCUCAAACUGCUGACAAAUGUUUCUGCUGCUCUAAAGUCUGGUCUCCAGAACUUCCUAAAAACUCUCAAAGUCUCUUCUGCUGCAGGUUGCUUUGUAGAACUGUUCCAGAAAACCUCACUAAACCACAUGGAGGGGCCUCAAGAUAGUCG
ensembl:lncRNA